AUGUCUCGAUCAAUAGCUUGGGCCAAUUUGAAAGGUCAAUACAAAAACUUAAGGAGAAAGCCACCUGGAUCUCUAAGUACAAAGGCAGGCUCAGAGUGGAGAAGAGUCUUGUCUGAAGUCACCAAGUGCGUAAGCGGCAAUCACAGAACCAGAAACCAGGACUCCUCCUGCUCAUCAUGCCACCUUGCAGCUUCCUGGAGCUCCAGAUGCCUGGACCCUGAAAUGGUGUCACAGACUUCUGCUUGUGAUUUGCGGCUGAGACUUGGAGCUCCAGCUUUGGCUUCCAGAAUCUCUGAAUUGACAGCCAUCCAUCUCCUGGAGCUGCUGAUUGACAUGGAAUAUACAUAAAGUAUCAUCAAAAAUGACAGGAGACGAGGAAAAAGCCAAAGCAGAGGCCUGAAGGUCCAGCAAACUUGGAGACUCAUGCUCUUAAAAGCAUUUCAUCAUCAACCAUUAUUAUUGCUAUCAGUUAUUUUCAUACUUUCCCAAUAUUGUGGCUAUCAUUGAGGAGAUACCAAAGAAUUAGUCUCUACCUUUUAGGUCUUUCACUGUGGUGUCUGGGAAUGGUUCUGGCAGAGUAAUCACAAGCCCCAGAAUGUUCUGUGAGACUGAUGGUGAAUGCACAAGAGAGAGCCCCGGUAGAGUAGGGUAACCUUUUGAAAUGUUAGUGUUUUGUUUUUGAAUGUAGAAGGUAUGAAGGACAAUAGGCAAAACUUCCCUUUGCAUCUCCUCAGGAGAGUUCUCUGGGCCAGGUCAGGAUUCCAAACUCAGGGACACAUGGGCCUGCACAACUUUAACCUCCAGAGUGUUUGAAAGAGAUGAGAACUAGUAGCCAAUAUUUAGAAACAGAGGCAUCAAACAUGAAAAUUUGAUUUCCAGUCUCUCGAAAGUUUAGAUCUGCCAGCCUCAGUCCACAUGCUAAUACUGGACUGCAGCCGGUGGUGGCUGCUCUGUGGUAUGCUGGAACUGGCUCUCUCCGGCUUUUGAGAGAGAUUUGUCUUCAGCACUUCUGUGUGCAGCAGCUUUACAUUGGUAGGUUGAGAUCAUUGAAGUAGGCCAUGGUGAGAGUAUUUGUACCAUGAAGAUGCUGUAAGUCAGAUUUUUUUUCUCUUGGUAAGCCAGUUAAACAUUUACUAGCAGACCACUGAGGUCACCCCUCUGGAUGGUGUGUUGAGUGUUCAUUCCUCAUACCUAUAAUUUACCAUCAUCUCCCUACUAUGAGGCUGAGUUGCCCACCUUGUCCCUUUGGUUGAUAUUCUGGGUUUAGGAUCCUCUUGCACCAUUUGUUUUUAUUUAAGGGGGCCUCUGUGAAGAAAAAUCCCCCACCUCAGACCUUUGUUAGGAAGGAGAGGCUCAUCAAGGAAAAGGCUCUGAAGUGGAGAAAGGGAGGGUGGUCUUUCUACCUGGAGAGGGGACUGGCUUGCUCUCUGGGGAUGAAAGACUUCCGUGGGCCAGGGACAGUAAGAGUUCAUUCUGAGAGGUGGGAGAUGGGAGAUACACAUUUCUUGUGUGACAGACACCCAGCCCCUGCUUAUGUAGUGUCCCAGUUGUAUGCCCAUGGGGGUAGACCUGGGCACUGUGACCUCAGGACACGGGCUCCCAUUAUAACAGGCAAGGGCACAGGGAAGUCCCAUGCUUCUGAACAGACCACCUGUGCUCUGGAGCUGGGAGUAUGGGACGGAUACCCAAUCGUAGAGCCGACUUCAUGGGCAUGUGACCUGUGCAGUGGUGUAGGGCUUCCUGCUUGGUUUCAUGCUCUGUUGUCAUCAUCUUGAAAUUCUUCAUACUUUUUGAACAAGGGGCCCUGCAUUUUUAUUCUGUACUGGGCUCUAUAAAUUAGGUAGUUUAUCCAUUACUCUAGGAACUGAACAACCGUGGAGUCCUAAUAAGUAAGCAGCAACAAGGAAGGGGUCCCAGUUCGGGGAGAACGAUUGUUCUGAGUGACUGCUAAUCACAGACAACCCCCUGGCACAACAUUCUGUUCCAAAAUCCCUCAUUCUGCUUGUAGCCCCAGCAGCAAUACCUUAUCUGCACACCUUAUCUGCCUGUAACCCCUCCAGUACAACCCUAUAAAACUUCCCUCCAGCCUCUGCCUCUUGGCAGACAGUCCCUUCUGUGCUGUGCUGCCCAUUGCUUUCUUGCCAUCUACCUUUGUACUUUCUCUAAUAAAUCUGCCAUCUUUACCCAUGAUAGUCUUGGUAAAUUCUUUUACCACCUGCGAUGCUGGCCCCAGCCAGUUGCACCUGGAACAACAACAAGAGAUCUGCCUCAAUUAUUCUGCGCUGUAUGAAUUUUCCCAAGACUUCCAGGGUGAUCCCAAGAAGUGGGUUGAGGAAUCUCCUAAAAUUUCCUAUCCACCCCCGUAGCUGGGGCUGACUCACAUUUAUGUGGUCGGAAACACUAAGAAACAUGCUAUUUCUUAGAUGGGUUCAGAGCUGUCCUGCCUAUUGCACUAGAUUGAUUUUUUUUUUCUUUUUUAGCCCUUAGAUGCUGGGGGCUAAACUAGGGGUACAAUGCUGAAGUUUGGUAAUAUAGGAGUGAAUAUGACAAGGCCUCUGCCCAAAAGAAGCUCAGAGUCUAGAGGGAGACAUGCAGAGGUAAACCUACAGCUCUUACUGCAUGUAGCACAUUAGAUCUGAACUCUAAAAAGUGCCAUGGGGAAGCAGAAGCAAGAACAAUUGAUUCUGUGUAAACAGGAUCAGGAGAGUUUGUGGCAAGGGCCUGAAGGCAAAUAAGAGCUCUCUGGGUGAAGAGGGUAGGGAGGUGCAAGCCUGAUGCUUCAUAAAAUCCUCUUGCUUAGGGGUCUGCUAUCUUUUGAUGGUGCUGUAGCUUUUAGCAAUUUCAGAUUCAUCUAGUAGCUUUGUACACACUUAAGUAACUGUCCUGUAUUGUGGCCGUAAUUGGGCCAUAAAACCAUUCUGGAACCUGGUUCCAAAGACCAGUUGGUAAUCAGGUAUUUUCUUGAUUAUGUGGUGGAAUGACAUUGGAAAUACUAGCAGGUGUGUUUUUCCUAUUCCAUUCCUUACCUGGGGACCCUUUCCCAACUGGGCAGCUGGACCCUGGAGCAGCUUUGCCUCAAGGAAGGUAAAUGACAGCAAAAACAAUGGCCAGGCUUUGGGUGUAAAACGCUGAGACUGUGAAGGGCUUCAAGGAAUAGUGAAGUCAGAGGGAGUCACAAAUGGGCUUUCUGUACACUGGUAUUGGAUAGGAUUUUCCAAAACCGGGGGAAGGGAGAGCUGAGGGUAAGUGGGAGUGAAAAGAGGGUGAGGGUCCCAAGAACAUAGGACUAUGUGGUUACCCUUUUUCAGUGUAUCCUUGGAGGAGGAUAGAAGAACAGUCAGUUGAAGGCAGUGAUCCUCAACCUUAUUAAAACUAACAACUCCUUUAUGUAGUAAAUAUUUUAUGAAGUUCUCUUUACU
ensembl:lncRNA